rnacentral:rRNA from 1 species
UGAGGAAUAUUGGUCAAUGGACGCAAGUCUGAACCAGCCAAGUAGCGUGCAGGAUGACGGCCCUAUGGGUUGUAAACUGCUUUUAUAUGGGGAUAAAGUGGGGAACGUGUUCCCUUUUGCAGGUCCCAUAUGAAUAAGGACCGGCUAAUUCCGUGCCAGCAGCCGCGGUAAUACGGAAGGUUCGGGCGUUAUCCGGAUUUAUUGGGUUUAAAGGGAGCGUAGGCCGUUUGGUAAGCGUGUUGUGAAAUGUAGGAGCUCAACUUCUAGAUUGCAGCGCGAACUGUCAGACUUGAGUGCGCACAACGUAGGCGGAAUUCAUGGUGUAGCGGUGAAAUGCUUAGAUAUCAUGAAGAACUCCGAUGGCGAAGGCAGCUUACGGGAGCGCAACUGACGCUGAAGCUCGAAGGUGCGGGUAUCGAACAGG